CACGUAGGGCGCGAGCGUUGUCCGGAAUUAUUGGGCGUAAAGAGCUCGUAGGCGGUUUGUCGCGUCGAAUGUGAAAACCCGGGGCUCAACCCCGGGCCUGCAUUCGAUACGGGCAGACUAGAGUUCGGUAGGGGAGUCUGGAAUUCCUGGUGUAGCGGUGAAAUGCGCAGAUAUCAGGAGGAACACCGGUGGCGAAGGCGGGACUCUGGGCCGAUACUGACGCUGAGGAGCGAAAGCGUGGGGAGCAAACAGG
rnacentral:rRNA from 1 species